GGGAAGGUGGCUCAGUGGGUAGAGCGCUUGCCUUGCAUGCACGAGGCCCUGGGUUCGAUUCCUCACCACCACA
rnacentral:tRNA from 1 species